GAUAGGGUGGCCUCAGAAUCAUCGUCUCUCUCAUUUUUUCUUAGACCCCCUUCCCACUCUCCCUCAUUAGGUGCAAUAUCACCGUCAUCUCCGACGAAUUGUGGAUACGUUGGCUGGCUGCUUCCUCUUUCAUGCUGCUCAUCACCUUCUUCAAGAUCUUCCUCGCCGAUAGCCUCAAAGAACGCUCUCUUGUGCAACACUGGCUCCUCCUCUUCUACUACCCAUUGGUCUGCUGUGUCUGUGACAAAUAUUGUGUCUAACUCUAUCGGCCCAUAGUCUUCAAGCUUCCUUCUUAUUU
rnacentral:lncRNA from 1 species